UACGUAGGGUGCAAGCGUUAAUCGGAAUUACUGGGCGUAAAGCGUGCGCAGGCGGUAAUGUAAGACAGAUGUGAAAUCCCCGGGCUCAACCUGGGAACUGCAUUUGUGACUGCAUUGCUGGAGUGCGGAAGAGGGGGAUGGAAUUCCGCGUGUAGCAGUGAAAUGCGUAGAUAUGCGGAGGAACACCGAUGGCGAAGGCAAUCCCCUGGGCCUGCACUGACGCUCAUGCACGAAAGCGUGGGGAGCAAACAGG
rnacentral:rRNA from 1 species